CUUUUCCGCAGCCUGUGAGAGGCCCUGGCGCGGGCCUCCCAACCCGGUAGAUGCACAGUAACCCCAGCCUUUAUGCAGGGCUUUUGUCACAGCGCAGAUCUCGCGAGCUGCAGGAUUCCGGGCCUUGCUGACCAAUUCAGUCCCACAGUCAUUAGGGAGAGCAGAACGAGUGACCUGAAUUCACAUGAAGAAAUAAAGACUACCAGUGAAGAUAAAUACCUAGGAGUGGAACACUGAAGAAUGUACUGUUGAUGCCAGAAAGAUGUUAACCUUAAUCUGGGUUUUUGUACACACAGCUGAAGAAUGAACUUCACGAAUACUCAGGCAGGUAGCAAGCAAAGUCUUUAUUACAGGAAAGCAAACAGCUCCCAGGACAGCUGGGAGGGGGAGAAAAGCUCCCCUUCUCUAUUGCCUUAUAGGGGCUUUUAUCUCUUAAAGAUGGGGGGCUACUAAAGUGGGGUCCAGAAAGAUGUGGAUUUCUCCCAUUGGCCUUGCUCCUAAUUACCUGUAUCAGUCCUUGUCCAACAGGGGUCUUAGGGGUGGAAAUGUCCCAUUAAGUCUCAUGGUUUCUUUGCCCUUUUCUUCCCGUAAACUGAGUCAUAAGGGUUAGAGAUUAAUGUUCGUCUGGGCAUAGGCACACUCCCCAUAGUAAACAAGGCCUGUGGGGAUGUUACUCCCUAGAGCCCUAAAGCCACAAAUGUUAAUCAAUAGCCACAUCAAAGAAUGCAUCAAGGAGUUCCCAUCGUGGCAUAUCAGAAACGAAUCGGA